AGAGUUUGUUCCUGGCUCAGGAUGAACGCUGGCGGCAUGCCUAAUACAUGCAAGUCGAACGAGAGGAAGGAAAGCUGCUUUUCUGAAUCUAGUGGCGAACGGGUGAGUAACACGUAGGUAACCUGCCCAUGUGCCCGGGAUAACUUCUGGAAACGGAUGCUAAAACCGGAUAGGUAGCAGACAAGCAUUUGACUGCUAUUAAAGUGGCUAAGGCCAUGAACAUGGAUGGACCUGCGGUGCAUUAGCUAGUUGGUGAGGUAACGGCCCACCAAGGCGACGAUGCAUAGCCGGCCUGAGAGGGCGGACGGCCACAUUGGGACUGAGACACGGCCCAAACUCCUACGGGAGGCAGCAGUAGGGAAUUUUCGUCAAUGGGGGGAACCCUGAACGAGCAAUGCCGCGUGAGUGAAGAAGGUCUUCGGAUCGUAAAGCUCUGUUGUAAGAGAAAAACGACAUUCAUAGGGAAUGAUGAGUGAGUGAUGGUAUCUUACCAGAAAGUCACGGCUAACUACGUGCCAGCAGCCGCGGUAAUACGUAGGUGGCGAGCGUUAUCCGGAAUGAUUGGGCGUAAAGGGUGCGUAGGUGGCAGAACAAGUCUGGAGUAAAAGGUAUGGGCUCAACCCGUACUGGCUCUGGAAACUGUUCAGCUAGAGAACAGAAGAGGACGGCGGAACUCCAUGUGUAGCGGUAAAAUGCGUAGAUAUAUGGAAGAACACCGGUGGCGAAGGCGGCCGUCUGGUCUGUUGCUGACACUGAAGCACGAAAGCGUGGGGAGCAAAUAGGAUUAGAUACCCUAGUAGUCCACGCCGUAAACGA
rnacentral:rRNA from 1 species